AGCCAUUAGACUGGUGAACAAUUCAUAAAAUCACCACCAGACAAUUUACCUUGACCCUCCCUUUUGUACACUGCUGCUACUCGCUGUUUGUUUGUUAUCUAUGCAUAGUCACUUCGCCCCCACCUACAUAUACAGAUUACCUGAACAAGCCUGUACCCCCGCACACUGACUUGGUACCGGUGCCCCCUGUAUAUAGCCUCGUUAUUGUUAUUCUUAUUGUGUUACUUUUUAUAUUAAUCUACAUGGUAAAUAUGUUCUUCCUCUUAAGCUGCACUGUUGGUCAAGGGCUUGUAAGUAAGCAUUUCACAGUAAAGGCUACACUUGUUGUAUUUGGUGCAUGUGACAAAUAAAGUUUGAUUUGAUUUAUAAGAUAUUUCAUGAAUAUAUCAGAAAGUUCCCCCAAACUGAUUUUUACCUGAAUUACUUCUCCUUUUGAUGUGAAGGCUGGACUGUUUGACGAAGACAGUUAAGAUGGAAGGCUACUUUGGGAUAUAUCGAGGUGCAGCAGUGAAUCUCACUCAUCACACCAGAGAAUGCCAUUAAACUGGCAGCAAAUUAUAUCUUCAGACAGAAGCUCUCCAAGGACGGGAAACUAACUUUUUGUCCUAGCACAGCACUUACACUUUUAACUGAAACAUACAUUUACACACCUUAGAGUACUUUUUUAUCCAUCAAGUUAACAUAACAUUCAUGUAAUAAAGUCAGAUGGACUAAGGUGCUAUUGCUACAGUAAACUGUCUCAUUUUAUCAGGGGUGGUGUCAUUGUUGUUAUUAUUGCUAUGUGUCUAUUUAUUAGUCUGUUAACCCUGUCAUUUGGCCCACAGGAAGUUGCCCCUGUGGGGGGAGAUACUGGCAGGAUGUGGGACGGGGACCUGCCAGAUGAUAGUGACCACACCCAUGGAGAUCCUCAAGAUCCAUUUGCAGGACACAGGAAGCUGACAUAAGCAGAGUGGUCCAAGCACACACUGCAGCUUCUGGUCCAAGCACACACUGCAGCUUCUGGUCCAGCUCCUGGUCCAUCUCCUCCAGCCCAGCCUGCACCUCCACCUCGGACCCCUGCCGUCCGUAUUACCCUGGAGCUACUGAAGACACGCGGCCUGCCAGGCCUCUACCGGGGAGCAGGAGCCACACUGAUGAGGGAUUUUCCUUUCUCUAUGAUCUACUUCCCGCUGUUCACCAACCUGAACACGCUGGGAAGGGCCGAGUAGUCAUGGAGACUUGCAGGAGUGGGCCCCCUUCCUGCAGUCCUUCACAGCAGGCUGCACAGCCGUAUCAGUGGCAGCUGUAGAUGUCACACCACUUGACAGUGAGAGAGGGAGGCACGGAAGGGCUGGGGGAGCCCCAUAAAGGAGAGAUAAACCACUGUAUUCAGUAGCAGUGCAUGUCAUUCAGUCCUAAAUCUUAAUGUCCACAAUAAGACCAUCUAAUCUGUAGAUGUCAUACAGGAGCAGUUUGUAAGGGCUGAUUCCUGUGUUGGGUUGGGAUUGCAAAGGCUAUUUAAUUUGAUUAGCGGAUUACAAUUAAAUUAUACCAUGAGACCCCAAUUACAAUGGUAUGAAAUACAUUAUCAAUAACUCUGCAAUCCCAGGGCAUGAUAUCCAUAUUGUCUGUACUUUAAGGACAGUGGAGUUUACAUUGGUUUCAGUGUGUGUGUUUGUUGGCAGUCAUAAAGACUCGUAUACAGACCUUGCAGAAGGGGGAGGACACAUACCGUGGCAUUGUUGACUGCACACGGUAAGGCUUGCACCAUAAAACACACAUUUCUCCAAUAUGUAUGUGCUAACCUUUGGUUGACAGCAGGUUUCUCACACUUCCAUACAAGGAUCUGGAGUAAAGGGCCCAGCAACAUUCCUCAAGGGGGGCAACUAGUCGCGCACUGGUCAUCGACCCCCUCUUUGGCAUCGCACAGGGGGUCUACUUCCUGGGUGUAGGAGAGCAGUUGCUAGGGCUACUGGGAUAGCAGCAGCAUGUGUCAGUGUCCCUUACAGUACAAAACAUACUGCUUCAUUCAGCAGUGAAUUGAGGGAGAGAUUACUCUCCAUGGUUCUUAUGCAAAGGCUCCUUGACUUUGCCAUCACUAAGGAAGUUACCAAGCUAUCAUGGUUUGACAAAAGCACUUUAAGUGACAAAUCCAUCAACAUUUGUUUUUAAACUAUCAAACAUUUUAUUUACUAAUGUUGUAGAAUGCUGACUACACUGCCAUGAGAAGUCUAAAAUGUGUCUGGCAAUUCAAAGCAAUUGGUCCACCUUUCACAGAGAUCCUUUUCGUUUCAUGAAAAAGGACAACCUCCACAUUGGCUUUCCUCCCCAGUGAGUUUCUUUCCCAUCCGUGAGUCCAUAGUUGUAAUCUUGGACUCCUCCUGUUAAUGCUUUAAUCCUAGUCUCUGUACUGUAACCCACUGAACAGCCAGGCUCCUCUCCUACAGGUUAAGACUGUUGGGCCUGCACCCAGAAGUCUUACCUUCUUGUUCUCCACAACUCAGGCUCAGAAGCAAACCUCUUCAGAGCUAGCUGUAACUGUUAGCUUAACCUUUUUUAAUGCAUCUUUGAAUUACAUGUCAUGCAAACAAUAAAAAUUAUGCAAAUAAAGCCUUAUUUCUGCUGAUGGAGUCUCAUCCUAAACAUCUUGCAUUUAUCUUACACAUUUUGGAAUUCAGAAGAUGUUAGUUUGAUGUACAACUUAGUAUAGCCUAUGAUAAGAUCCAUUUAAAAAAGUACCAGGUUCUUGCCAACGCACUUUGGAUUAAGUCCACUAGGUGGCAAUGAAAGCAUUUUGUUUUAUCCAUUUUAUGAUGGGGUUGGAAUAACCAUUUUAUUCUUCAUUGGAGAACAUCUGAAUUGAAUGAACAAUCUGUGUACAAACAGUGAAUA